CCACUGCGUUGCCAACUGCGCGUACUGCCGACACGUCGAUUCCUGCCCGCUGCGCGGAUCCCGCACGCUGCGCCGCCGCCGAGACGCCUUCGGUUCGGCUUCGAUUCGACGAAAUUCAAGAGGAACCACUACGACGCCUGGCCGCCAGGUUCGACCUAAUAUCGUCCGGAGCCCCAGGUGACGAUUUUUUCGGGCGUGCCCUAUAUUGAGAUAUCUCUCUGAUUGCUAACAAUGGGAGUUUUUCUCGUUAAUGAGAUGAACAUUGAAGACGUGUCUUGGAUAAAAUUAAAAAUGAGAUAAGUAGAACGGAAUUACAUUUUAUCCAAGCCAACAUUCGCAAAAAGCAUAAUUCACGGCGAAAUCGUGUGACUCGACAUUUCUGGAGACAUCGCUGUUCGAGGGAGGAUCUCUUUCAUAUAUCCAGGCUAAAAGUUUUGAGAUACGACCACUUUCUUAUGGGAUCGAACGAUACGUGAGCUCGAAAACAGAUGACAACGUAUGUGUGUUUGCCGUAAAUGGCUUUCCGUUGCGGAGGUCGCCAACGACGUGUAUGCAUUGCGACUCUUUUCUCGGCAUUUAAUUCUGGAGAUAUUACGUGAUGUGUCAUAUUGGUGGCAUCGAUGCCAUUUAAAGGCAAUAAAGGAUCUCCCACUUAAUCAAGAAGGAAUCAAGAGUCAGAAGUUCUACGUUGGGUGGACCGUACAAGGCGAUCUCGUUAGUCGUUUUUGUACUGUUACAUCGGCAAAAUACGUGGGGCAAUACAAAUUCAGAAUGAUCCAUUAUGGUAUUCGAUUAUUCAAAGGAAGAGAGAGGAAGAGAGCUAAGAAUUAAAUCAGAAGUUAAAUUAAAUCACAAGAAUAUAAUUCUUCGAACGCGUUCAUAAUUGAUAACAAAAAAUUAUAAUGAUUAUAGUUUAUCAUAAAUUAUUAUUAUAUAUAUCGCAUAUUUUUUAAAUUAUAUUUAAUGUUUAAUAUUGUGUAUUAUUAUAGCACUUUAAAGUUUAUACUUACGCGAUUUCUUUAAAAAGAAUAUCCCAAAAGCAUAAUUUCAACAUUUUUGAAAUCUACGAAAUAGAACUGAAUAUUUCAUUGUUACAUGCCCGCAGUGUAAUAACUUUCGUUAGUUUUCUCGUAUGGUAUUCGAGGGGACGACAAUGUGUUUUAGCGUUAUGGGAUUCUCGAGAUUAAAAACGAAAGGAAGGGAAGAAAAUAUGUAAGACGCAUUCGCGCGAAUCCUGAUGCUUUUUUUAGGUAUUCUUAUUUCGUGUCGUUUCACGAAAGGUGAAAAAAAGUAAGUGAGAUAGUAUGCAAGGAAAAAAAAGAGGCAGAGGUUUACUUGAUCGACGCGAGGAACCACUUGCCCAUAUUUGGCUACACCCGCUGCAAUCUACAUUCCGCCUUUUUUAUUGCUUUUUCUUUCGAUCGGCCGCAUCUUCUCUGCUCUGCAUCAGAUUACUGAUAAUCUAUAAUACAUGCAAAAUGUAAAUCAUAAUCUGUGAAGGAAAUGUGGACAUUUAUUUCGAAUAAUUUAUAAUCGAAUAGAUAUUGAUUCAUAAGAAGAAGAGAUUGAAGUUGAGACAGAUCGUUGAAUUAACAAUAUUGGCUUAGGAACCCCUACAGAGCGCUAUUUAGGGUCGUAGAUCGCCGUUUAAUCGUCAGAUAGAAUGGAACAAAAACAGCGCUGGCCCUCUUUUGGAUCUAAAGGCAUUUGUACAAUAAGUAGCACAAGACCGCUUUCUAUCCAUAUGUGAAGGAUUUCUCGGUAUAUAUCUCGAAUGCGACACGUUGAGCACAUCGACAGGAAUCUGCCGUAGGUCGACUGCGAUCUUUGAUUUUGUGUCUGGAGUCGCACAUAAGAUUCAAUUUUUUAAAUCAUUUUUAGAUUAUUAUAAAAAUGUAUUAUUAGCUAUUUUCUUGAAACAUUCCAAAUAGCAUUUCGAUUAAUUAUUUCAAAAUUAUAUCCUAAAAUAUCAGAAUAUUAUAAAUAUUUAUAAUUAUGAUAUUCAUAGUUAUAGAACAGAAUUAAAUUGAAAUAAAAUAUCAGGACAUUCUUUUUAUGCGUAAAUAAUUACAUGUUAGAAUAAUUAUAUAGAUGAAAUUAUAUGU